rnacentral:tRNA from 1 species
GGAGAGAUGGCUGAGAGGUUUAAGGCGGCGGAUUGCUAAUCCGUUGUACAAUAAAUAUGUACCGAGGGUUCGAAUCCCUCUCUUUCCC